CUCUCUGACAGUCAGCGGUUCCUGGUGACCCCAGCCUGGGUCACGAGCCUAUUUCUGGUUCCAGCACAUAUUACAAGACUCCAAGUUUCUUGAUCUACCUCACAUGAGUGACUUGAUUGACACCUGGGUUCUGUAGCGGUACUGACACCGUGUAAAGGAGUCUUGUGUUACUCAUGUUUCCACUCUGUUCCAGUGACCUCAGGAUGGACAGCGGUGCCAACGUGAAAACGUUUUGCGGAGCAUGAUUGAAAUUUGCUUUAUUGCCUUAUACUGUAUGCAAUCCCCAUUUUGUGGCCAAUGCAGUUUAUUGUUUGGCUCAGCUGCGUUAAGCUGUGUGGGAGAUUACCUCUACAAAAGUAGAGGAAAGCGCUAGAAAUGGUGGCGAGGAAGGAUGAGAUGCAGUGGCAGACGAUGCUCUGGGACUAUUACCCUCACACCGUCUCUGCUUUUACACUGUGUUUGUGCUUUCACUUUGUUUCUACUUCUCUGCUCAACAUUAGUCCAGCUCCAUUCAAUGCAGAUCAGUAAGUCACAUAGGAUUUCUAUGCUUUGUCGAUUUCAUUCUGAUGUGAUUAUCUCCAUUUGUCAAUACAGUCGACUGUUAACAAUCUAAAAAUCUGUUUUAGAAAAAAAAAAGUUUUUUGACAAUGGUCAAAUAGAUAUAGAAGUGCUUUUAGGUACUGAUGUUGUUGAACAGUAAUGUGUUCAAAAGUAAACAAAACAAUCAGCUGACAUUUGUUAAAAAUAGUAUUCAAAAACAUUUGUAUAAAGAUAUUGUAUCACUAAGUUAUGGUGUAUAACAUCCAUACCUACAAGAUUAAACCCACGCAGCCUUCAGCGCAUCUCUAACAUCACAUGAAAAAGCAGUCUGACACUUCCCUCUCGUCCUGUCACACUUACCUUGGGCUUAUUAGCCUAUAAAAUCAUCAUAUUUGGUCCCUCUGUAUUUGUUUGAUUACAUUUUCCUCCAUGCCACUGAGAAUAUGUGAGAUGUUAUGUUACACCCUAUUGAUUACCGGUGUUAAUUAAAAUUUUAAUUAAAGUUUUUUAUGGUCUGUGUUUCACUUGUGAUAAUACUAGGGGGAGAGGAGAGACCCCUCCUUCAUAAAUCUUAUCUUUAUUUGCAACGGCAGGCCAUCAACAAAUACAACUGUGUACAUAAAAUUUUACUAACAUUGAUUUUGAAAAUAUUAAUAUUACUUUAAACAUUGGAGAUGUAUUAUUCAAUUUAGAACCGCAAAGCAUAAAAUCCUGGUGCUAUAACUCAGUUAAUGAACAGGAAAAGUCCAUUACAAACCUAUCAGUAGACGCAUCAUCUGAUCCACAUAAGCGGCUGUGAUAGAAGCAGAAUCAUUUACUUUGAGCUGCACAGAAGACUCCUUUAAUGACGGCAGGCGAUGUGUUGUGAAAGCAGGAUGAGCUCAGAUGAAUUGCUGGUUUUUCCCUGUGUCUUUGGCGUGCAGAGGACAUUAGGAAAACCAUCUGAGUUUCAUUUCUGCCUUGUGUAUCUGUCAUGUAGAUCGCCACGUAUCAUUUAAUGGCUAUCAUUUAACAUGAAAAACAC